rnacentral:rRNA from 1 species
UGCGUAGGCGGAAUAUUAAGUCAGUGGUGAAAUCCUGCGGCUCAACCGUAGAACUGCCAUUGAUACUGCUAUUCUUGAAUGUAGUUGAGGUAGGCGGAAUGUGUAAUGUAGCGGUGAAAUGCUUAGAUAUUACACAGAACACCGAUUGCGAAGGCAGCUUACUAAACUAUGAUUGACGCUGAGGCACGAAAGCGUGGGGAGCGAACAGGAUUAGAUACCCUGGUAGUCC